CUGGACUACCGGGGUUUCUAAUCCUGUUUGCUCCCCACGCUUUCGCGCCUCAGCGUCGGAUCCGGCCCAGCAGGCCGCCUUCGCCACCGGUGUUCUUCCCGAUCUCUACGCAUUCCACCGCUACACCGGGAAUUCCACCUGCCCCUACCGGUCCCCAGGCCAGCAGUAUCGGGAGACCUUCCGGGGUUGAGCCCCGGCCUUUCACCCCCGACUCACCAGC
rnacentral:misc_RNA from 1 species